GAUUCCUCUUUCGCUUAGGACAAGACUGAAGGUUUAGGAAGAAAUGUCACAUCGUCAACCGGCUGGAAAGUGGAUGCAGAAUUACCCAUUGAACAAGAUACCCAAAGGCCCCUAAAGAGAGAGACGAGUGCGCUCAAGCGGCUAAAGCCCGGUCUUCUCCCGGGUUGAGGAGGAAGGGGCAUCCGAGACAGUUUUCACCUAAUUGAAUUGAACCGCUAGAGACUUCCUUGGGCGAGUAGCACUCGCGGAUAAGAAGGCUUGAGUAGUGCCGAUUUUCACUAUUCUAAGUAAUUUCUAUAGUUAAGUGCUUUGGUCUCGCCCUUGCUUAAUUA
rnacentral:lncRNA from 1 species